GACGACGCUGGCGACGUGCUUAACACAUGCAAGUCGAACGAGAAUCGUACAAAGGAGGAUUCGUCCAACGGGGUACGAGGACAGUGGCGGACGGGUGAGUAACGCGUGAGUAACCUGCCUUUCAGAGGGGGACAACAGUUGGAAACGACUGCUAAUACCGCAUAACGCAGCGGGGUCGCAUGACCCUGCUGUCAAAGAUUUAUCGCUGAAAGAUGGACUCGCGUCUGAUUAGCUAGUUGGUGAGGUAAAGGCCCACCAAGGCGACGAUCAGUAGCCGGACUGAGAGGUUGACCGGCCACAUUGGGACUGAGAUACGGCCCAGACUCCUACGGGAGGCAGCAGUGGGGAAUAUUGGGCAAUGGGCGCAAGCCUGACCCAGCAACGCCGCGUGAAGGAAGAAGGCUUUCGGGUUGUAAACUUCUUUUGUCAGGGAAGAGUAGAAGACUGUACCUGGCGAAUAAGCCACGGCUAACUACGUG
rnacentral:rRNA from 1 species